rnacentral:lncRNA from 1 species
UGUCAGCUUUUGACUUAAGUCUGUUAAAAGUUGCUGUUAGGUAAAUAAAGGACCCACAAAAAAGACGAUAAAAAAAGUCUCUCAGGAAUCAUGCAGGCAACUUACCCAUUCUAUUCAGGAUUGCAGAAUAUGAUGCAACAUGGCAUAGGAAAUAAGGGAAAAACAAGGUUCCUCAAGCCAUAGACACAUCUGACCACCAGUAACAAAAAGUAUGUUACUAUCUCAGAGGAAAUACUAGAUUAUAUAAAUACAACCCUCUGCAGAGAUACCACUGUUUUGUCUCUGGUCAACUAUGUUAAAAUUAAUAGUAAUGAAAGAGCUACUUUAUCACCACUCACCAGUGUGAAUUAUUAAGCCUGUAAAGUAAAAUGGUGUAGCAGGCAAAUGGAGCAAUAUAAAAUAGGAACUGGGUCAAGUUACUUACACUUCUUCCAUUAUGUUUCCUGUUGAUACUAACAACAAAAUAAAAACCAUCUGAAUACUCUUGGUAUUAGUGAAUAUUAAAGAAGUUAAAAUUCAGAGAUGACUGAAGAAAAUUGGUACCAUAUCUAUGCAAAAACUGCCAGGAAUUAAAAAAAUGUCUUCCAAAUAGCAGGUCCUAAUGGGGCAAUUGCCUUGGAUAGGUAGCUCUUAUUUCUAAAAGUAAUAAUAAUAAUAAAUUGCCUUGAAUCAACUCUAUACUGAGCAGCAAAGUAGCAAAACGAGUAUAACUUGCCUUCAAACCCCUGAAUAUCACCCUUAAUUGCACUGGCACAGGUUGCCCAAAGAAGUGGUAAAUGCUCCAGCCCUGGCAGUGUUCAAGGUCAGGUUGGACAGAGCCUGGGGCGACAUGGCCUAACGUGAGGCGUCCCUGCCCAUGGCAGGGGGGUUGGGACUAGAUGAUGUUAAGGUCCUUUCCAACCCUAACCGUUCUAUGAUUCUAUGACUUCCAUUAAAUUCACAAAACUAUCUUUUGAUAUGAAAUCCUGUAGCAUAAGUAGUCAGACUACAAUCCUUUUAUUUCAGGAGUGUGAUUUGUGAACUGUUUUGACAGAGCAGAUUUUUUGUUUAAAAUGAUGCUGUCCUUAUGAGAGGAAGUUCAACUUUACUUACUGCUGAAGUAAAUGGCAGCAAUUUCACUAACAUUAUGAUUCAAAAUUCACAUGAAUUUUAAUGGUCUUUUUGCAUAUCAACAUCCAGUGUGCUUAACAAACAUUUGGCAAUGUGUACAUAAUCGUUCCUCCCAGAUAACUCGUAUUCCUCUUGAAGGCUUGCCACUCCCACCCCACACCCCAUUCUCCAUUUUGAUGCAACACAAAGGUUUUGGACCUGGAAUGUAGUGACUUUUCUUAAAUUUUGGUUUGUUUUUUUUUAUUUUGUUACUCUCUUUCCUCAAAUGCCUAAGCAACAUUUUUCACUUUCUACUUUCAGGUCCCGAUGGUUGUGAAUAUUAGUGCGGAGUUAUUAUUCAAAUAUACAAGCUACAGAUAGCACAUACAGCCAGAUUUCAGGCAGCCGUCAGGGUUUCACUAAACAAAGCCAGUGACCACUUUUAUAGAUGAAUAUGCUGCAACUGAUGUUAACAAUUUUGCUUAUAACAAAACUGAAUCAAAGAAAUUUUUGUUAGUUUCUCUGUAAGAAACUAUUUUUAUAUUCACAGAGAGGAAUAUAAAGGGAAUUUUUAAAUAACUAUUUUCAGAGGUGGCAUAUCAAUUUUAACAAGGCUCUCUGGAUUUUUUUUGGGGGGGUGGGUGCUUUUCUGAUAUUUGUGCAUUUAUAUAUUGAAAGUGUUUGCAAUAUAGACCUUUUUGAUCACAUUUUGCAAAAGCAUUGCUAUGUAAUUUCAACGUAAUUUGCAUGUUGUUAUUUUGCAGUUCAGAUUUUUCUUGUCAUCUACCUCUCAGUUGAAGUUUGGAGACUUGCGCAACCCUGGAAAAAUACAGUUAACAUAAAGCAUAAUGAUAAAACCUGUACAGACUAUUAGAAACUCUUGCAAAUCUUUGAAGCCACUUCCAGUUCUAUUUUUAAGGCAGUGCAUAUUUAUCACCAAAUUUUUUCUAUCAAUUGACAUAGUUUUAUUAAGUCUAUAGACUUAACCCAUAGCGGUCUAGUUUUUUACAUCAUUGAUCUGGUAUAAAAACUCAAUGUACCAAAGUCUAUCGUGAGAUGCUGACCCUCCUCUUUUUUGGGUUUUUUUGUUUCGUUUGGUUUUGUUUGUUUGUUUGUGGUUUUAAUUUUUUUUUGUUGUUGUUAUUGUUUUUUGGUUUUGUCUUCCCAUUUCUGAGUUAGAGGAAUUAAAUGGAAACUUUAAAUAGUUAAUACAUCCAAAUGGUUUUUAAAAGUAUUACAGAACACCUUGCAUUUUGCAUCCCUGAAAAAAGUAUUUCUUUAGUUUUGAAAUAAUACAGACAUGUAGCUUGCUUUGAGGUAGUUGAGGGAGAUGGCCAGAAAAUGUUGGAUUGGGGCCAAUGAAUAAUGAUUGUUCUUCUUAUGUUCUUUACAAAACCAGACAUGAUUGUUUCUUUCAAAAUAUUAUUCUUUUUAGUCUGCAAACCAUUCUUGCCUUCUAGGACCUAGGACAAAGUCCACCGAAGCCAGCAUAAAAAAACACCAUCAAAGAGCUUUAUUGGACAUUGGAGGUGAUGUGGCUCCAGUGGGGGCUUCAGCCUUAUUUUCUCCCUAUCAAAUCUCAGGAGUAACGUAUAUAAAACAGAAAAUGCAGGUUUUGUUGCAACUGGCAAAUUUAGCUAUGCCUGCAUAAUAUUCCGAAUGAAUCAGUCCUUAAUUUAAAGCACAAUAUGUAUUGUUUUAACAGUCUAUGUAAAUAAUAAAAAAAAAAAAA